GCCUGCGCGCGCCGGCGGAGCUCGCCGUCGCCUCGCUUAUGCCUGCUCGAGCUCUCGUAGCUCGUCGACGGUGCUCGUCCAAGUCUGCACGAGCGGGCAUAGCUCAUCCUCGCCUCUCUGAUGCCUGCGCGAGCCGCCGUAGCUCGCCGCCCAGGCCCUGCGCGAGCAACCACAGCUCGCCCUCGCCUGCGUGCUGGCGGAGCUCGCCGCACGGCAUGCUAGAGAGGUGCGCCAGCGACUUCGUGUCCCUGAACACCAGCACCAUGGCAACAUCAACUGGAGGCCCUUUUGAUGGUCCGUGAGGAGGAGACGAACGCGUGUGCAGGGAGUAGAUCAGGGAUGAUGAAUGUGCUUCCCACAGAUUCCAUACGUCACAUGAGGAGCUUUGUUGAACUGGAGUCAAACGAACAAACCAAGGGAAAGGUAAAACGUAAUACCGUCCAGAAAGAUUGGGUUCCAUGUCGCCACUGCGGUACUGGGUGAUGGGCAGCACACGAAGCCGAGGAGAUCGACGGCGCACGACGCCGAGGAGAUUGGCGGCACGCGGUGUUGAGGCAAUCAGCGGCGUCGCGACCCAGGAGAUGGGGGCAGCGUCCAGCGAUUGACCCAAGAAGUCCUGGCGACCAGGGAUGCGGCAAGCACGGUAUUCACGGCGGGCAGCACGCACUCGUCCGCUUCAAGUGCUGAUCUGAUGCCAAAGUACGUGAAGAUAGCUACAGGGGUACUUCGGUCCUUUCAGGUGCCAGAAAAUAGAAAAUAAAAAUAAAAGCAAUGAAAAAAGAAAAAAUGGCAUGGUAAUCAAAGUGCAUACGAACUGGGUGGCAUUUUUGCGAAGCCAAUGUUGAGAGUGGCAGUUUUGCGAAGCCCGAUAUUGAAAGUGGCAAAUAGCC
rnacentral:rRNA from 1 species